rnacentral:rRNA from 1 species
GUCUACGGCCAUACCACCCUGAACGCGCCCGAUCUCGUCUGAUCUCGGAAGCUAAGCAGGGUCGGGCCUGGUUAGUCCUUGGAUGGGAGAAGAAUGAGGAAAAGACCAGUUCCGCAAGGU